rnacentral:rRNA from 1 species
UGCGUAGACGGCAUAUUAAGUCAACUGUUAAAUACCUCGGCCUAACUGGGGACCGGCAGUAGAUACUGAUGUGCUAGAGGAUGGAAGAGAGAAGUGGAAUUCUCGGAGUAGCGGUAAAAUGCGUAGAUCUCGAGAGGAACACCGAUGGCGAAGGCAGCUUCUUGGUCCAUAUCUGACGUUGAGGCACGAAAGCGUGGGGAGCAAACAGGAUUAGAUACCCUGGUAGUCCACGCUGUAAACGAUGAUCACUAGACGUCAGUUUUGUUUAACAAAAUUGGUGUCGUAGCUAACGCGAUAAGUGAUCCGCCUGGGGACUACGGUCGCAAGAUUAAA